rnacentral:tRNA from 1 species
UCCCUGGUGGUCCAGUGGUGAAGAUGCCAUGCUCCCAAUAUGGGGAGCCAGGGUUCAAUCCCUGGUCAGGAAA